rnacentral:rRNA from 1 species
CCUACGGGAGGCAGCAGUGGGGAAUAUUGCACAAUGGGGGAAACCCUGAUGCAGCGACGCCGCGUGAGUGAAGAAGUAAUUCGUUACGUAAAGCUCUAUCAGCAGGGAAGAAAAUGACGGUACCUGAGUAAGAAGCCCCGGCUAACUACGUGCCAGCAGCCGCGGUAAUAAGUAGGGGGCAAGCGUUAUCCGGAUUUACUGGGUGUAAAGGGAGCGUAGACGGUGCGCCAAGUCUGGAGGGAAAUGCCAGAGCCUAACUGCGGAAGUGCUUUGGAAACUGGCGAACUAGAGUGCGGGAGGGGUAAGCGGAAUGCCUAGUGUAGCGGUGAAAUGCGUAGAUAUUAGGAGGAACACCGGUGGCGAAGGCGGCAUACUGGACCGUAACUGACGUUGAGGCUCGAAAGCGUGGGGAGCAAACAGGAUUAGAUACCCCUGUAGUC